GACGAACGCUGGCGGCGUGCUUAACACAUGCAAGUCGAACGAAGUGGCGAACGGGUGAGUAACGCGUAAACAACCUGCCCUUCAGAGGGGGACAACAGUAGGAAACGACUGCUAAUACCGCAUACUGAAGGUGGGGAUUGAGUCUGAUUAGCUAGUGGGAGGGGUAACGGCCCACCAAGGCGAUGAUCAGUAGCCGGUCUGGGAGGAUGAACGGCCAAAAUGGGACUGGGACAAGGCCCAGACUCCUACGGGGGGCAGCAGUGGGGAAUCUUCCGAAAUGGACGAAAGUCUGACGGAGCAACGCCGCGUUAGUGAUGACGGCCUUCGGGUUGUAAAGCUCUGUUAAUCGGGACGCGGUACCGGAAUAGAAAGCCACGGCUAACUACGUGCCAGCAGCCGCGGUAAUUC
rnacentral:rRNA from 1 species